UACGUAGGGUGCGAGCGUUGUCCGGAAUCAUUGGGCGUAAAGCGCGUGUAGGCGGCCUUGUAAGUCCGUUCUGAAAGUCCGGGGCUCAACCCCGGGAGGCGGAUGGAUACUGCAAGGCUCGAGUACGGAAGAGGCGAGUGGAAUCCCGGUGUAGCGGUGAAAUGCGCAGAUAUCGGGAGGAACACCAAUGGCGAAGGCAGCUCGCUGGGACGUUACUGACGCUGAGACGCGAAAGCGUGGGGAGCAAACAGGAU
rnacentral:rRNA from 1 species